rnacentral:rRNA from 1 species
GACGAACGCUGGCGGCGUGCUUAACACAUGCAAGUCGAACGGAAAGGCCCUGCUUUUGUGGGGUGCUCGAGUGGCGAACGGGUGAGUAACACGUGAGUAACCUGCCCUUGACUUUGGGAUAACUUCAGGAAACUGGGGCUCAUACCGGAUAGGAGCUCCUGCUGCAUGGUGGGGGUUGGAAAGUUUCGGCGGUUGGGGAUGGACUCGCGGCUUAUCAGCUUGUUGGUGGGGUAGUGGCUUACCAAGGCUUUGACGGGUAGCCGGCCUGAGAGGGUGACCGGCCACAUUGGGACUGAGAUACGGCGCAGACUCCUACGGGAGGCAGCAGUGGGGAAUAUUGCACAAUGGGCGGAAGCCUGAUGCAGCAACGCCGCGUGCGGGAUGACGGCCUUCGGGUUGUAAACCGCUUUCGCCGGUGACGAAGCGUGAGUGACGGUAAUGGGUAAAGAAGCACCGGCUAACUACGUG